rnacentral:misc_RNA from 1 species
AUCGAGGCGGCCGAGACCCAUGCCUGCGCACCAUCGCCGGAGGAGCACCGCUGCGUUCCUGAGUCCCGGUGACAAGGUCCAUCCAUGGAGCGCAAAUGUUGUUUGCUGUCGCUCCAUGUCGAGGUGAAGAAUCCCUCUGCCUUUCCUUCUCUCCUCUCUAUCGCCAUGGCCCUGUUGUGCCGGCCACCAACUCGUCUUCAGCAUGUUGCGCGCACAUCUACUUCGCUCCGCACCGCCGUCUACUGCGCUUGCCGGCGAGCAGCAGCUCGUCGUGCCCCAGCCACCGGCUCAACCGAGCCGCGCUGCUACGUGCCGUCGAGCUGCAUCCUCGGCCACCGGCGACACCUCAACCGGGCCGUCGUUGUCUCCACCGCGCCUGCUGCUUGCCCGCCACCGUGCACAGUGACCGCGACGCGCGCCCGCCUUGGUGUCUUGCUGCCACUGCGCCGUCCUCGCGCCAGGACCCCAUCGAGCGCCUCCACCCAUGCUCCAUCCUUAUCACCGC